rnacentral:rRNA from 1 species
AGUCGAACGAGAAUCACUGGAAGGAGUUUUCGGACAACGGAAGGUGAGGACAGUGGCGGACGGGUGAGUAACGCGUGAGGAACCUGCCUUUCAGAGGGGGACAACAGUUGGAAACGACUGCUAAUACCGCAUGACACAUAGAGAUCGCAUGGUUUUUAUGUCAAAGAUUUAUCGCUGAAAGAUGGCCUCGCGUCUGAUUAGCUAGUUGGUGAGGUAACGGCCCACCAAGGCGACGAUCAGUAGCCGGACUGAGAGGUUGACCGGCCACAUUGGGACUGAGAUACGGCCCAGACUCCUACGGGAGGCAGCAGUGGGGAAUAUUGGGCAAUGGGCGCAAGCCUGACCCAGCAACGCCGCGUGAAGGAAGAAGGCUUUCGGGUUGUAAACUUCUUUUGUCGGGGACGAGUAGAAGACGGUACCUGGCGAAUAAGCCACGGCUAACUACGUGCCAGCAGCCGCGGUAAUACGUAGGUGGCAAGCGUUGUCCGGAUUUACUGGGUGUAAAGGGCGUGUAGCCGGGAAGGCAAGUCAGGUGUGAAAUCCACGGGCUUAACUCGUGAACUGCAUUUGAAACUACUUUUCUUGAGUAUCGGAGAGGCAAUCGGAAUUCCUAGUGUAGCGGUGAAAUGCGUAGAUAUUAGGAGGAACACCAGUGGCGAAGGCGGAUUGCUGGACGACAACUGACGGUGAGGCGCGAAA